rnacentral:rRNA from 1 species
CCUACGGGUGGCAGCAGUGAGGAAUAUUGGUCAAUGGACGAGAGUCUGAACCAGCCAAGUAGCGUGAAGGAUGACUGACCUAUGUGUUGUAAACUUCUUUUAUAAAGGAAUAAAACGAGGCACGUGUGCCUUUUUGCAUGUACUUUAUGAAUAAAGAUCGGCUAACUCCGUGCCAGCAGCCGCGGUAAUACGGAGGAACCGAGCGUUAUCCGGAUUUAUUGGGUUUAAAGGGAGCGUAGAUGGGUUGUUAAGUCAGUUGUGAAAGUUUGCGGCUCAACCGUAAAAUUGCAAUUGAUACUGGCAGUCUUGAGUACAGUUGAGGUAGGCGGAAUUCGUGGUGUAGCGGUGAAAUGCUUAGAUAUCACGAAGAACCCCGAUUGCGAAGGCAGCUUACUAAACUGUGACUGACAUUGAUGCUCGAAAGUGUGGGUAGCAAACAGGAUUAGAUACCCCUGUAGUC